rnacentral:tRNA from 1 species
GCCUGGGUGGCUCAGCCGGUUAAGCAUCCAGCUCUUGAUUUCCGCUCAGGUCAUGAUCUCACGGUUCGUGAGUUCAAACCCCACCUCGGGCU